rnacentral:rRNA from 1 species
GUGGGGAAUAUUGGACAAUGGGCGAAAGCCUGAUCCAGCCAUGCCGCGUGUGUGAAGAAGGUCUUCGGAUUGUAAAGCACUUUAAGUUGGGAGGAAGGGUAGUAACCUAAUACGUUGCUACUUUGACGUUACCGACAGAAUAAGCACCGGCUAACUUCGUGCCAGCAGCCGCGGUAAUACGAAGGGUGCAAGCGUUAAUCGGAAUUACUGGGCGUAAAGCGCGCGUAGGUGGUUCAGUAAGUUGGAAGUGAAAUCCCCGGGCUCAACCUGGGAACUGCUUUCAAAACUGCUGAGCUAGAGUACGGUAGAGGGUAGUGGAAUUUCCUGUGUAGCGGUGAAAUGCGUAGAUAUAGGAAGGAACACCAGUGGCGAAGGCGACUACCUGGACUGAUACUGACACUGAGGUGCGAAAGCGUGGGGAGCAAACAGGAUUAGAUACCCGGGUAGUCC